AUACGUAGGGGGCAAGCGUUAUCCGGAUUUACUGGGUGUAAAGGGAGUGUAGACGGUAAAGCAAGUCUGAAGUGAAAGCCCGCGGCUCAACUGCGGGACUGCUUUGGAAACUGUUUAACUGGAGUGUCGGAGAGGUAAGUGGAAUUCCUAGUGUAGCGGUGAAAUGCGUAGAUAUUAGGAGGAACACCAGUGGCGAAGGCGACUUACGGGACGAUACCGGAGGUGGAGGCUCGAAAGCGUGGGAGGAAAAAAGGAUUAAAUCCCCUGGUAUUCCACGCCGUAAACGAUGAAGACUAGGUGUUGGGGAGCAAAGCUCUUCGGUGCCGUCGCAAACGCAGUAAGUAUUCCACCUGGGGAGUACGUUCGCAAGAAUGAAACUCAAAUGAAUUGACGGGG
rnacentral:rRNA from 1 species